AUUCAUUCAUACUGCGUUCUGCACCUCUGAACGCUUCCCAUAUCCUUUUCUUUGUUCCUUCAAAUCACAACUCUGUUAUAUUUGAAGACGGUGGAUCGCGGCUUCCACUCUUCAAGCUUCCAUCGAUACAGAAGGAAAACAUAGAUCUUGGUGGUUCAGCAAUAAAAGAUGCAUGUAUAUUCAUCUUGGAGCUUUGAAAGGAGAAGAUGAACCUUCCCAAUGAGUGAGAGAACUUGAAAGCAAAAAGUGUGUUUUUGUUCUCUUCUUCUCAAUGUGAUCCUCAGAAACAUUAUCUUUAAUUUGUGACAUUGGCUGAUCAUUAUCAUCAUCACCAGAAACAAGCAAGCAAGAAUGAUAAGCGGAAAAACAUUGCAAACAGAAGUAAUUAAAGUGAG